rnacentral:rRNA from 1 species
GAUGAACGCUAGCGGGAGGCUUAACACAUGCAAGUCGAGGGGCAGCAUAGGGUAGCAAUACUCUGAUGGCGACCGGCAAACGGGUGAGUAACGCGUAUGCAACCUACCCUGUACAGGGGGAUAACCCGGAGAAAUUCGGACUAAUAUCCCGUAAUAAUAUCCGGAGGCAUCUUUGGAUAUUUAAAGUUCCGACGGUACGGGAUGGGCAUGCGUAACAUUAACUGGUUGGUAAGGUAACGGCUUACCAAGGCUAUGAUGUUUAGGGGUCCUGAGAGGGUGGUCCCCCCACACUGGUACUGAGACACGGACCAGACUCCUACGGGAGGCAGCAGUGAGGAAUAUUGGUCAAUGGGCGCAAGCCUGAACCAGCCAUCCCGCGUGCAGGAAGACGGCCCUAUGGGUUGUAAACUGCUUUUCCAGGGAGAGAAACUUACGCACGUGUUGCGUGACUGACGGUACCCUGGGAAUAAGCAUCGGCUAACUCCGUG